UGGCUCAGGACGAACGCUGGCGGCGUGCUUAACACAUGCAAGUCGAACGGUGAAGGGAUCAGCUUGCUGGUUUCUGGAUGAGUCGGCGAACGGGUGAGUAACACGUGAGUAACCUGCCCCCUUCUUCUGGAUAACCGCAUGAAAGUGUGGCUAAUACGGGAUAUUCUGGGUCUGUCGCAUGACGGGCCCGGGAAAGAUGCGCCUUUGGGUGUUUUUGGUGGGGGAUGGGCUCGCGGCCUAUCAGCUUGUUGGUGGGGUGAUGGCCUACCAAGGCGGUGACGGGUAGCCGGCCUGAGAGGGUGGACGGUCACACUGGGACUGAGACACGGCCCAGACUCCUACGGGAGGCAGCAGUGGGGAAUAUUGCACAAUGGGCGCAAGCCUGAUGCAGCGACGCCGCGUGAGGGAUGGAGGCCUUCGGGUUGUAAACCUCUUUCGCCAGUGAAGCAGGCCUGCUCCUUGUGGGUGGGUUGACGGUAGCUGGAUAAGAAGCGCCGGCUAACUACGUGCCAGCAGCCGCGGUAAUACGUAGGGCGCGAGCGUUGUCCGGAAUUAUUGGGCGUAAAGAGCUCGUAGGCGGCUGGUCGCGUCUGUCGUGAAAUCCUCUGGCUUAACUGGGGGCUUGCGGUGGGUACGGGCCGGCUUGAGUGCGGUAGGGGAGACUGGAACUCCUGGUGUAGCGGUGGAAUGCGCAGAUAUCAGGAAGAACACCGGUGGCGAAGGCGGGUCUCUGGGCCGUUACUGACGCUGAGGAGCGAAAGCGUGGGGAGCGAACAGGAUUAGAUACCCUGGUAGUCCACGCCGUAAACGUUGGGCACUAGGUGUGGGGGGCCUUUUCCGGGUCUUCCGCGCCGUAGCUAACGCAUUAAGUGCCCCGCCUGGGGAGUACGGCCGCAAGGCUAAAACUCAAAGGAAUUGACGGGGGCCCGCACAAGCGGCGGAGCAUGCGGAUUAAUUCGAUGCAACGCGAAGAACCUUACCAAGGCUUGACAUGUGCCGGUCGGCUCCGGAGACGGGGCUUCCUCCUUGUGGGGCCGGUUCACAGGUGGUGCAUGGUUGUCGUCAGCUCGUGUCGUGAGAUGUUGGGUUAAGUCCCGCGACGAGCGCAACCCUUGUCCCGUGUUGCCAGCACGUUGUGGUGGGGACUCGCGGGAGACUGCCGGGGUCAACUCGGAGGAAGGUGGGGAUGACGUCAAAUCAUCAUGCCCCUUAUGUCUUGGGCUUCACGCAUGCUACAAUGGCCGGUACAGAGGGCUGCGAUACCGUGAGGUGGAGCGAAUCCCUUAAAGCCGGUCUCAGUUCGGAUCGGUGUCUGCAACUCGACACCGUGAAGUUGGAGUCGCUAGUAAUCGCAGAUCAGCAACGCUGCGGUGAAUACGUUCUCGGGCCUUGCACACACCGCCCGUC
rnacentral:rRNA from 1 species